CGAAUAUGAUGCAUUGCAUUAAUUAUUGUUGAUGUGGAUGGAUGUUGGAUGACCCACUAGCCCUCGGUAUGUAACAUAUGAAAGUUCAGGGCUGCCCAUGCCAUGCGUCCGGGCAAUUGUGUGUGAUUAUGAGGAAGGAGGGUUAUUGGUGACAAGUCCAUCCUUGAUGUGAAAUGUCUGUGCUAUGAUGCUUUACAUGAAAGCAUGAAUUAUUAAAAUGUAUUAUGGUUCUGCUCACUGGGCUUUUUAGCUCACCCCAUUCCCUUAACCCCAGGUUUGCAGGUACGAGGCAGUCAGGGAAGUCAACUAGAGUAGGAAGGUUUUAUGUAUGUAAUAGUUAGUUGUGGACAUGAGAAUGUUGUAAUAUGAAGUAUUGAAUAGUCAUGUAAUGUAAUGAUGUACUCUGAGGAUUAGUAUUGUGCUUGACCCUAGUAUGUAUAGUUAAUCCCUUUUGAAUACAUGAUCUCUGUAAUGUUUUAUGUUAGCCAAGCUUAAUGUAUGAUAUGUUAC
rnacentral:lncRNA from 1 species